rnacentral:pre_miRNA from 1 species
CAAGUACUCCCUCCGCCCAGAAUUACUUGUCAUCAAAAUGGAUGUGUCUAGAACUAAAAUACAUCUAGAUACAUCCAUUUCAAUGACAAGUAUUUUCGGACGGAGGGAGUACAAG